rnacentral:rRNA from 1 species
CCUACGGGUGGCAGCAGUAGGGAAUCUUUCACAAUGGGCGAAAGCCUGAUGGAGCAACGCCGCGUGCAGGAUGAAGGCCUUCGGGUUGUAAACUGCUUUUAUAAGCGAGAAAUAUGAUGCGAACUUAUGAAUAAGGAUCGGCUAACUACGUGCCAGCAGCCGCGGUCAUACGUAGGAUCUGAACAUUAUCUGGGGUGACUGGGUGUAAAGAGUUGCGUAGGUGGGAGAAUAAGUAGCUAGUGAAAUCUGGUGGCUCAACCAUUCAGACUAUUAGCGAAACUGUUAAGCUUGAGACCGUUAGGGGUAAGUGGAAUUUCGAGUGUAGGAGUGAAAUCCGUAGAUAUUAGAAGGAACACCAAUAGCGUAGGCAGGUUACUGGGAAGGUUCUGACACUAAGGCACGAAAGCGUAGGGAGCAAACGGGAUUAGAUACCCCUGUAGUC